CAAGACGUAGCUUAAACAAAAGCAUUCAGCUUACACCUGAAAAAUGUCUGUUACACCAGAUCGUCUUGA
rnacentral:tRNA from 1 species